rnacentral:rRNA from 1 species
AGAGUUUGAUCAUGGCUCAGGACGAACGCUGGCGGCGCGCCUAACACAUGCAAGUCGAACGAGCGAGAGAGAGCUUGCUUUCCUGAGCGAGUGGCGAACGGGUGAGUAACGCGUGAGGAACCUGCCUCAAAGAGGGGGACAACAGUUGGAAACGACUGCUAAUACCGCAUAAGCCCACGGCUCGGCAUCGAGCAGAGGGAAAAGGAGCAAUCCGCUUUGAGAUGGCCUCGCGUCCGAUUAGCUAGUUGGUGAGGUAACGGCCCACCAAGGCGACGAUCGGUAGCCGGACUGAGAGGUUGAACGGCCACAUUGGGACUGAGAUACGGCCCAGACUCCUACGGGAGGCAGCAGUGGGGAAUAUUGCACAAUAGGGGAAACCCUGAUGCAGCGACGCCGCGUGGAGGAAGAAGGUCUUCGGAUUGUAAACUCCUGUUGUUGAGGAAGAUAAUGACGGUACUCAACAAGGAAGUGACGGCUAACUACGUGCCAGCAGCCGCGGUAAAACGUAGGUCACAAGCGUUGUCCGGAAUUACUGGGUGUAAAGGGAGCGCAUGCGGGAAGACAAGUUGGAAGUGAAAUCCAUGGGCUCAACCCAUGAACUGCUUUCAAAACUGUUUUUCUUGAGUAGUGCAGAGGUAGGCGGAAUUCCCGGUGUAGCGGUGGAAUGCGUAGAUAUCGGGAGGAACACCAGUGGCGAAGGCGGCCUACUGGGCACCAACUGACGCUGAGGCUCGAAAGUGUGGGUAGCAAACAGGAUUAGAUACCCUGGUAGUCCACACUGUAAACGAUGAUUACUAGGUGUUGGAGGAUUGACCCCUUCAGUGCCGCAGUUAACACAAUAAGUAAUCCACCUGGGGAGUACGACCGCAAGGUUGAAACUCAAAGGAAUUGACGGGGGCCCGCACAAGCAGUGGAGUAUGUGGUUUAAUUCGACGCAACGCGAAGAACCUUACCAAGUCUUGACAUCCCUUGACGAUGCUGGAAACAGUAUUUCUCUUCGGAGCAAGGAGACAGGUGGUGCAUGGUUGUCGUCAGCUCGUGUCGUGAGAUGUUGGGUUAAGUCCCGCAACGAGCGCAACCCUUAUGGUCAGUUACUACGCAAGAGGACUCUGGCCAGACUGCCGUUGACAAAACGGAGGAAGGUGGGGAUGACGUCAAAUCAUCAUGCCCUUUAUGACUUGGGCUACACACGUACUACAAUGGCGUUAAACAAAGAGAAGCAAACCUGUGAAGGCGAGCAAACCUCAAAAAGGCUGUCUCAGUUCGGAUUGUAGUCUGCAACUCGACUACAUGAAGCUGGAAUCGCUAGUAAUCGCAGAUCAGCAUGCUGCGGUGAAUACGUUCCCGGGUCUUGUACACACCGCCCGUCACACCAUGGGAGUCGGUAACGCCCGAAGUCAGUGACCCAACCGCAAGGAGGGAGCUGCCGAAGGCAGGAUCGAUAACUGGGGUGAAGUCGUAACAAGGUA